rnacentral:misc_RNA from 1 species
GAUGAAGAACGUAGCGAAAUGCGAUACGUAAUGUGAAUUGCAGAAUUGAGUGAAUCAUCGAAUCUUUGAACGCAUAUUGCGCUCUUUGGUAUUCCGAAGAGCAUGCUUGUUUGAGUAUCAGUAAACACCUCAAAGCUUUUGGAUUUUUUAAUCGAAAAGCUUUGGACUUGAGCAAUCCCAACACCAAUCUUUUUGAGAUCGGUGGCGGGUUGCUUGAAAUGCAGGUGCAGCUGGACAUUCUCCUGAGCUAAAAGCAUAUUCAUUUAGUCCCGUCAAACGGAUUAUUACUUUUGCUGCAGCUAACAUAAAGGGAGUUUGACCGUAUUGGCUGACUGAUGCAGGAUUUCACAAGGGUCGGCAACGAUUCUUGUUAAACUCGAUCUCAAAUCAAGUAAGACUACCCGCUGAACUUAAGCAUAUCAAUAAGCGGAGGA